rnacentral:tRNA from 1 species
GGGUCAUUAGCUCAGCUGGUAGAGCACUGGACUUUUAAUCCAGGCGUCCCGGGUUCGAGCCCCGGAUGACUCA